rnacentral:misc_RNA from 1 species
GAACGCACAUUGCGCCCCUUGGUAUUCCGGGGGGCAUGCCUGUUCGAGCGUCAUUUCAACCCUCAAGCUUAGCUUGGUAUUGAGUCUAUGUCAGUAAUGGCAGGCUCUAAAAUCAGUGGCGGCGCCGCUGGGUCCUGAACGUAGUAAUAUCUCUCGUUACAGGUUCUCGGCGUGCUUCUGCCAAAACCCAAAUUUUUCUAUGGUUGACCUCGGAUCAGGUAGGGAUACCCGCUGAACUUAAG